GUGCCAGCAGCUGCGGUUAUACAAAAAAUACAAGUAAAUUUUAUUAAAUUAAGUUAAAUUGUAAUAUAUUUUAUAAUAAAAUAAUUUUUAGGUGAAAUUUUAAUUAUUUUAUUUUUAAAAAAAAGAAAAGUAUUGAAACUGAAAAAUUUUGUUAAUAAACUAGGAUUAGAUACCCUAUUAUUAAAAAAUGUGUUUUAAAAAGUUAGAGUAGUAAUAGUUAUGAUCUUGAAACUCAAAAAAUUUGGCGGUAUUUUAGUCUAUUCAGAGGAACCUGUGGUGUAAUCGAUAAUCCACGAUGAAUCUUACUUAUUUUCGUUUUUCAAUUUGUAUACCGCCGUUAUUUAAAAAUUUUUUGAAAAUAAUAAUUUUUAUAAUUUUUUAUUAAAGAAAAAGUCAGGUCAAGGUGCAGUUUAUAUUUAAGUAUUUCAUGGGUUACAAUAAAUUUAUUUAUAUGGAUUAAAUUAUGAAAUUAAUUUAUGAAAGUGGAUUUGGGAGUAAAUUUUUAUAGAUAAAAAAAUUGAUUUUGGCUCUAAAAUAUG
rnacentral:rRNA from 1 species